UCUCUGUACCAAUCAUCCAACUCUUUGCACAAUUUCGAUUGGUAAAAAGCAUAAUAAUAUGACAAUUUUGACUUUGGUAUUGACGAUCUGACAAGCAAACUGACAAUUUUUGAAUAAAACAUAAAAAAUACAGGAACAUCCUUUGGGAAACUAAAUAAUAACAUGUGAAAACUACAGAUUUCAUCUAAAAACUACCCUAUUUUAAAAGCGCCCAUGUAAGGGGAGACAAAGCAAGAAUAAAUAAAUCUUAUGAGGAACUCAUCUCGAGUUCCUCAUAAGAUAAGGAGUUCCCCGUAAACCUGGACAAUCCCGUGUGACAAAAAGAAAUUUGGUCACCUAAGUUAUAUAAGUGAGUUAUGCGGACCGCCCAGACAACAAAAUUAAACCCAUAACACUAAGUUAAGGCAUACUAAGGAUGUUUAUAAUAAAAAACUAAACGAAAACUGAACAAAGUGCGACCUCGCUUUCUACAUCUGAAAGCGGGGUCUGACGUUCUUGAUAUUCUUUAAUCUUGGAUCAUGAUCCAAACUUCUCGCAUUUUAUGCUGUGGAAAAGCAUUACAAGAGAUUCAACCUAGGUAUUCGGUACCUAAAUCGCAAUGAAUGGUCAAAGGAAAUUCACCGUUAGAUCACUAGAUAGCUGCAAUAAAUUCUCCUGUGGUGAUAGCUUAGGCUCAAAAAUAAUGAAUUUAUCAUCAGAGUCUUAUACAUAUAAUAUUUUUAAAUUGAUAUCAGCAAUUUGUAACGCAUGGGUGUGUACGAUAUGUAAAUAUUUGUCGAGGCGUUCAGUGCCUACUUUGGUUGAUCCCUGCAAUUGUAAACCCUGUGAUUGCGAGAAGUGCACUAAGUUUGCCAAAAACUACGAUAGCAACAGCAUUGAAAAUCGCAUACUAUGCGAAAAUGAAUCACACGAUGAUUCAACAUUAAAUCAUCACAUAUGCAAGAAAGUAUCUCCAUGCAACUAUUCAAAUUGUCAUGCUGAAUCUAUAAUUUAUGACGGAGAGAAUCCAGCAACCAUAGCUCCUUUUGGAGACGUCGGCCGAUCAGACAGCUGCCAGUAUUCCCCUUGCUCAUGUGCUACCUGCAUACAGCAUUGCCUCAGUUUCCCGGGAAUCAAAAUGUUGAAUAGUCUGCACAAAAGUUGCUUAAGCAACUCUUGCAGUCUUAGAUACGUAUCUGGUAGUGAUAUGGUUGGAAAACCAACCGAGAAACAUAAUAACUUUUAUACCGCUAUAGUAGAAAACCAUCAACUGAUACCACAGCCAGUGGAUUUGACAAACGCUCCAGUAUGCAAGUGUUCGUUUUGUGAGUGUUCGUCAUGUCCUUAUCAAGGACAAGCAUCAUUAGCAGGAUCCCAGGAAACUAUUAGUCUUGUAAAAAAAUAUAUUGAAGAUGAGUGGAAGCUAACGUUAAACGAACGUAAAUAUGACUCCGGGCUUCCUAGAUGUGGUCCAAAAAAUACAAUUAGUAAUAAAGUUGGUGUCGUGAAAAAUCCAGGAAAUUGUAGGAGAUGUAAAACAGACGCUACCGCAGACGCAAAACCUUGCCAUUGCUCUAUAAAAGAAAUCUUAAAGAAUCUAAACGAGCACGAAAUUGAAAUGCAAGAACACAACAAUAAAGCACUGAAUGGACAGCUCUAUAACAAUAAUUAUUUAUGUACAGUAGCAAACGUUGAAACUAAUACUGAAUAUAACACAGCAGAAAAAAGUACCGAAAUGGAUAGCAAUCAUUGGUGCGUAGAAAAUAAAGUAAAAAAUUAUGAAUAUACAUUAAAAAUUGAUAUUACUGCACCUGACCUUGAUAAUAUAUCUAAGCAUAGUACUAAACAGAAGAUAACGAAAAUAUCUAAAAUUAAAAUAAAGGAACAGGCGCACAAAGUGAUGACUGAUAUUAUAAAUGAUAUUACGAGAAAUACUCUAACGGACCAACCAAAACAAACGUCAAUUGUGGACCUAACAAGUCAUGAGGAUAUGGAAAAGUUGGACAAGCUCAGAGUCCAAGAACCGUGUGCGAGAAGAGUGUCACAUCAUACAGUUAGUCUCAAGUGGAAGUUGCCCAAAGUAAUCGAGGGAAUUAUGGGAUACGAAAUACUGGUAGACGGCAAAUCUAUUGAGACAAUAGUCAAUCCAAGGCGAUGCAUGGCAGUAAUCAGCUGCCUCCCUCCGGUCC